CAGAGGAGGAAAUUCACAAAAGUGACACAAAGCAGAUAAUAACAGAGCCUCAUGAAUUCAUAAUGAUGUUCAAGCAAACAUAUUUACCUCCUCAGUGAGCCCACGAGCCCAUCAAAGAACAUCUCUUAAAUGGCAAACAUGCUGUCCCAGCCCUGCAUGUCUCCUAAGCAACAUCUUUACAGUGUCUGACCCAGCAGUUCUGGAAUAGUGGACUACAACUCGAAACAAGCAGCCUGAUAGGAAAGGACAUGGAGUUGGGGAGAAUCUCCCAGAAAAGUGAAGGGAGAUACUAUUUUUGAUUGAGUACCCACCAGCAAUUCAGACAGCAGCCAACCUGCUUGAAGACAAGUUGAGUGUAAAAUCAAAUUCAUGUCCCUCAGCAGAUGUUGUACUUGUUCACUUGUCAUAUAUGUGGUAUAGAUUAUAUUAAGACAUUAGGAUUGGCAGGUUUGUAGGUUUUAUUCUCAGAAAACAAGAAAACGUGUGUAGAAAGCUCAACAAAAUACAUACUUGAAAAAUCAUAAUAAACCUGAUUUUAAGUCCCUUUUCAAAAGAGAUUGGCCAUAGUGCUUUUUUUCCUGAGAGAAAUAUUGCAAUGAAGCUAUUUAGGGGUAAAACUAAAUUAUCUUGAAGUCAGAGC
rnacentral:lncRNA from 1 species